GUCUUCGGAUGCUGACGAGUGGCGAACGGGUGAGUAAUACAUCGGAACGUGCCCGAGAGUGGGGGAUAACGAAGCGAAAGCUUUGCUAAUACCGCAUACGAUCUCAGGAUGAAAGCAGGGGACCGCAAGGCCUUGCGCUCACGGAGCGGCCGAUGGCAGAUUAGGUAGUUGGUGGGAUAAAAGCUUACCAAGCCGACGAUCUGUAGCUGGUCUGAGAGGACGACCAGCCACACUGGGACUGAGACACGGCCCAGACUCCUACGGGAGGCAGCAGUGGGGAAUUUUGGACAAUGGGCGCAAGCCUGAUCCAGCCAUGCCGCGUGCAGGAUGAAGGCCUUCGGGUUGUAAACUGCUUUUGUACGGAACGAAAAGACUCUGGUUAAUACCUGGGGUCCAUGACGGUACCGUAAGAAAAGCACCGGCAAUACGUC
rnacentral:rRNA from 1 species